AAUAGCACUUCCUUCCUAGUCUUCAGCGUGCUAAUUUUAAUCUCAGACUCUGCCUUCCAGGAAAACAGAUUUGUGACAUUUGGUGCCAGGAAGGACCCAAGAAAGCCAUGGCAGUUGGAAUUUUGGAGCUGGAUCACUCAUUCCGAGGCUGGCAGUGAGCACAGAUGGCCCCUAACAAUUGUUAGGGCUUCCCCAGAGAUAAAGGCAAUGAAAAGAUAAUUGGCAACUGAAAGCUGAGUGUGGAAGUCAGAAUACCUUUUUGGCAGCAUCAAAAGCCCCUCUCCGUUUCCACAGUGGAAAGACAGGGAAAGCCGAAGACCAAGGCCGGGACAUAACACUGCGAGCAGCAGAGCUCUAAAGAAGGCCGUGCAGAGGCUUUUCCCCAGCAAGACAUGAGCAUUCCCAGGAUCUCCCCUCAUCUUCCUUCCUGGUAAAUAGAUCUGUAAGUAGGCUUAAUUAAUAGCAAAAUUGGGCUAUAGAUAGCCUGGGCCUGAUAAGGAAGGAAAGGGACCGUAUCCUGAAGAAAUGAAAGAACCUAGCCGGCACUCACCAGCAGGAGCUGAGAGAUCGUGCACAGCGCUGGAAUCGGAGGGCGUGCAACCAAGGGUGCGGAGCAUGUGGUUAUCAGCUAGGAAACACUACACCAGAAUACAGAAUUCAACGCCCUGGUAAGGCCCUGGGAGAUGGUAUCAACAGAGUGCUUCUAGGGCUGCUCCUAAAUGGGCCAUACAUUUACAUUCUCACCCUAAGACUAUGUUAACUAUCCUGUCUUCUGCCAUAAUAUACUCUGAAGAGACAUAAACUAGCUGUGCAUCCGGAAGACUAUCACAUCCAUUAACUAUAUCAGUAACAUGCUAAUUGGACACAAUGAACAUGAACAAAAAGUGACUAUUCAUGGAGGGCUUGGCAGGACACAAGUGUUCCAGAGGGGCGAGAAAACCUCUAAGAAGUUUUAAGGGACUGCCACAUUACUAAAAAUUUUAGGGCCCACUGUCCUGGGGCAUUCUGAGACAUCCCCUCAUCCCACAGGGCAAAUUAUUGCUUCUUACACUUGCACUUCCCACCAUGAAUAAGGAAGCACAUGUCGAGGAGACCUCUGGAUCGCAGAGGCAGCACGCACCACAGCAGAAUAAUGCCAUCUCUCUUCUGUGUGGCGUGAAGUGCUGCCAGCUUUCAAUGGGGCCUGAGUAAGAGAAAAGAUUUUGCAGUAGAUCAGGCAGCAGUGCGAGUAGCCCUGCCCGGGGGCCACAUAACCUGACACAUCCUAUAGCAUUGGAAACAGCAGUGACACAAAAAUGCCAUUAGAGAUGGCAAGGCCUACUUCAGGAAUCACAAUGCAGACACCAUCAGUUUCAGAACAAGGCCAUACCAUCUUCAGCAGAAAUGUAUAAUGUUCUCACCGUGACCCUGAGCUGAUUUCUGUCACAGCCACCAAGUCAUAAGGUUGAGAAGGCCCAGCAGAAAUUCAUAGGAAGAUAGAAGUGAUAUAUCUGGGAUCAAGCAGAGGCAGGACUGGGCAGAGCAUGCAAUCUACAUGAUCAGAUGACCCAGACACCCGUGUUGUCCACUACCAUUCUACCAGUGCCUCUCCCCCAGGUCACACAGGGGAACUAUUAUCGCCAAUUGAUGGGGCAGCAUAAGUUGGAGCUUGGCUCACAAAUGGAUUGGCUCAAUAUGUUGAUGCAAGUCUUGAAAGACAGGAAUGAGGGGCAACCCUCCCACUGAGGAAAGCUUUGAGCAGUGACCUGGUCAUUUACUCUGUAUAGAAAGAGAAGUUUCCUGAGCUGAGCUUAGAAAACACACAAAUUCAUGGGCAAUGACAAAUGUCUUGGAUUUUUCUUUCUUCCAGUUACUUGGAAGAUCAGGAACAAGGAGGUCUGGGAUAGAGACACAUAAGUAUACAUAUGGAAAUAAGCACCAAGUGUGACAAUCUUUAUAAUGCAUGGUAAUGUUCACCAAAGAGAAACCACCAUAGAAGAGACAUGAUUACACCAGGAAGAUAACAAAAAUAUACAAAGAACCCCUACUAAUCAAUAAUAAAAAGAAAAACAACUCAAUUAAAAUGGAAGAAAAGACUCAAACAGACACUUUACAAAAGAAGAUAAAUAUUGUCCCACAAGCACAUGAGAAAGUGUUUAACAUCACUAGCUAUCAGGACAAUGCAAGUUAAAUCAUCAUCAACAACACCAGUCACUAAUACAGUUAAAAUUAAAAGACAAUGACAAAAAUUGGAAAUAGAACUUUUGUGCAUUUCAGUGGGUAUGUAAAAUGGAGCAUCAUUUUGGAAAAAUUGACAUGGAAGCUUUUUACAUAGUUAAACAUGCAUCUGUCAUUUAA